GUAUUCACUUCAGCAUCAUGUAAACUAAAAUUGGAAUGAUACAGAGAUUGGCAUGGCAAGGAUGACACCCAAUUGUGAAGCAUUCCAUAUUUUU
ensembl:snRNA U6 U6 spliceosomal RNA